rnacentral:tRNA from 1 species
CCGCGGGCUCGACGAGGCGUACGACACCGCGCGCGAGCGGGUCGAGCGCGUGGAGCGGCCGAGCCGCGCGGGCUGAGGUCCGAGGCCCGACUCGCGGAC